AUGUUGCAAGACGGAAGACAAAUGCUGGCUGGCGAACGCUUAGUUAGUCAUGCCAACAAAGGAGCCUGUCCAGACAAUCAGAUGAUACAUCCGAGCUUGACACUCUUCCGCUGCUCUAACGAACCUUCCCUUUAUUAUCUUUCCAGACAACAGGAGAUGAUAGACUUAGAGUCAGUCAUGCCAACAGAGGAGCCUCUCUGCUCCCAUGCCUACAAGGCUAAGUACAAAUUAUUUUGGUUGUUAGAGUUUAAAGCAGAUCAUAUGCUAUAA
rnacentral:rRNA from 1 species